UGGUGGAGUGAUUUGUCUGGUUAAUUCCGAUAACGAACGAGACCUUAACCUGCUAAAUAGCCAGGCCGGCUUUUGCUGGUCGCCGGCUUCUUAGAGGGACUAUCGGCUCAAGCCGAUGGAAGUUUGAGGCGAUAACA
rnacentral:rRNA from 1 species